rnacentral:rRNA from 1 species
AUUGAACGCUGGCGGCAGGCCUAACACAUGCCAGUCGAGCGGAUGAAGGGAGCUUGCUCCUGGAUUCAGCGGCGGACGGGUGAGUAAUGCCUAGGAAUCUGCCUGGUAGUGGGGGAUAACGUCCGGAAACGGGCGCUAAUACCGCAUACGCCCUGAGGGAGAAAGCGGGGGAUCUUCGGACCUCACGCUAUCAGAUGAGCCUAGGUCGGAUUAGCUAGUAGGUGGGGUAAAGGCCUACCAAGGCGACGAUCCGUAACUGGUCUGAGAGGAUGAUCAGUCACACUGGAACUGAGACACGGUCCAGACUCCUACGGGAGGCAGCAGUGGGGAAUAUUGGACAAUGGGCGCAAGCCUGAUCCAGCCAUGCCGCGUGUGUGAAGAAGGUCUUCGGAUUGUAAAGCACUUUAAGUUGGGAGGAAGGGCAGUAAGUUAAUACCUUGCUGUUUUGACGUUACCAACAGAAUAAGCACCGGCUAACUUCGUG